UACGAAGGGGGGCUAGCGUUGCUCGGAAUCGACUGGGCGUAAAGGGUGCGUAGGCGGGUCUUUAAGUCAGGGGUGAAAUCCUGGAGCUCAACUCCAGAACUGCCUUUGAUACUGAAGAUCUUGAGUUCGGGAGAGGUGAGUGGAACUGCGAGUGUAGAGGUGAAAUUCGUAGAUAUUCGCAAGAACACCAGUGGCGAAGGCGGCUCACUGGCCCGGUACUGACGCUGAGGUGCGAAAGCGUGGGGAGCAAACAGGG
rnacentral:rRNA from 1 species